AUCGCUUCUCAGCCUUUGGCUAAGAUCAAGUGUGAAGUAUCUGUUCUUAUCAGUUUGUAAUUCUGAUAUGUCCUCUAUAUGAGGACUACAUGUAAGCAGAUUUUUGGCAUGAGGGCAGAAAUUUGGGCUUUGCUCCUUUCUCUCCAACGCAUCGACCUAGCAUUGCAGUGCGCUGGGAGCAGUGCACUCUGU